GAAUAUUAGUCAAUGAUCUAAGGAUUGAUCUAGUUACUUAGAAAGAUGAAGAUUAUAAUAUAAAAAAUUAAUAUAUAUAUUUAUAUAAAUAUUAAAAAAGAGAAAAUAAUAAUGAAGAAUAUAAAAUCAAUAUAUACAUAUGAAUAAUGAUGUAAAUGUAUAUAGAAGUCUUAACCAAAAUUAGUGCCAGCAGUUGCGGCUAAACUAAGGAGGCAAACGCUAAUCAUUAUGGCUUAAAGGAUCCGUAGAAUGAAUAAAUAAUAAUUUAUAUAGAGUUAUAUGUGAUAAUAAUGAAAUAUUAUAUUGAGAGAUGAAAUGUAUGGAAAAUAAUAAGACAAAUAAACGUGAAGAUAAUAUUAUAAAUAAUAACUGACAUUGAGGGAUGAAGGCAUGAGUAGCAAAAAGGAUUAGAUACCCUAGUAGUUCAUGCAGUAAACGAUGAAUACUAAAAUAUAUAAGUGAAAACUAAGUAUUCCGCCAGGAGAGUAUAAUUACAAAAUUGAAAUCCAAGACAAUAGACGGUUACAGCUGUAGGCAGUGGAUUGUGUUAUUUAAU
rnacentral:rRNA from 1 species